rnacentral:rRNA from 1 species
GGCGAACGCUGGCGGCGUGCUUAACACAUGCAAGUCGAACGGAAAGGCCCUGCUUUUGUGGGGUGCUCGAGUGGCGAACGGGUGAGUAACACGUGAGUAACCUGCCCUUGACUUUGGGAUAACUUCAGGAAACUGGGGCUAAUACCGGAUAGGAGCUCCUGCUGCAUGGUGGGGGUUGGAAAGUUUCGGCGGUUGGGGAUGGACUCGCGGCUUAUCAGCUUGUUGGUGGGGUAGUGGCUUACCAAGGCUUUGACGGGUAGCCGGCCUGAGAGGGUGACCGGCCACAUUAGGACUGAGAUACGGCCCAGACUGGUACGGGAGGCAACAGUGGGGAGUAUUGCACAAUGGGCGGGAGCCUGAGGCAGAAGCGCCGCGUGCGGGAUGACGGCCUUCGGGUUGUAAACCGCUGUCGCCUGUGACGAAGCGGGAGUGACGGUAAUGGGUAAAGAAGCACCGGCUAACUACGUG